rnacentral:lncRNA from 1 species
ACCCCGAGGAUUAGAUCAGAAAGAUGGACCUGCCAGGGGAAAGCAUCAGAGGCUUCUGUUCCUACCAUCAGUACCAUGGAUGCGCUAUUAACAGACCAGCAUCCCUUGUUUCUAAUACUGAACUGGCCUCUACUGAGAUUUUGUCACGCAGCUGAGAUUGGAAAGGAAGCCUCAGGAGCAGAAGCGAAUGCAAGCUAACAGAAAGAAAGGGAGCGCGGAGGAUGCCACAGCCCCAGUGCCCUCCCAGCCUCAGCAGAGCUGUGGGGAUUGUUCUUCACAUCUGACGCCAUGGGGUUCUGGAAGUCUCUUAAGGGAUAUAUUGGAACUGACUUGUAUUAUUUGGAAAUCGACAUAAAUUGUCUAUUAUUAAAUCUCACUGAAUUAAGUCCAA